rnacentral:piRNA from 1 species
UAAACCGUCAGAUCUCAUGAGAAUUCCCUCA